AGCUCACUGGUCGAGUCGGCCUGCGCGGAAGAUGUAACGGGGCUAAACCAUGCACCGAAGCUGCGGCAGCGACACUAUGUGUUGUUGGGUAGGGGAGCGUUCUGUAAGCCUGCGAAGGUGACCUGUGAGGGUUGCUGGAGGUAUCAGAAGUGCGAAUGCUGACAUAAGUAACGAUAAAGCGGGUGAAAAGCCCGCUCGCCGGAAGACCAAGGGUUCCUGUCCAACGUUAAUCGGGGCAGGGUGAGUCGACCC
rnacentral:rRNA from 1 species